rnacentral:rRNA from 1 species
UACGGAGGGUGCAAGCGUUAUCCGGAUUCACUGGGUUUAAAGGGUGCGUAGGAGGGCAGGUAAGUCAGUGGUGAAAUCUCCAAGCUUAACUUGGAACUGCCGUUGAUACUAUCUGUCUUGAAUAUUGUGGAGGUGAGCGGAAUAUGUCAUGUAGCGGUGAAAUGCUUAGAUAUGACUAGAACACCAAUUGCGAAGGCAGCUCACUACUCAAUUAUUGACUCUGAGGCACGAAAGCGUGGGGAUCAAACAGG